rnacentral:rRNA from 1 species
GCGCCUUAUGCAUGCAAGUCGAGCGAAGCUUUUCAGUAGUUUACUACAGAAAAUGACUGAGCGGCGAACGGGUGAGUAACGCGUGAGCAAUCUACCUUAGUUACAGGGAUAGCCCGAGGAAACUCGGAUUAAUACCUGAUAUUCUUUAAAUUUCGCAUGAAAUUAAAAGGAAAGGUCAGCCGAACUAAGAUGAGCUCGCGUUCUAUCAGCUAGUUGGUGAGGUAAAAGCUCACCAAGGCUACGACGGAUAGCUGGUCUGAGAGGACGAUCAGCCACACUGGGACUGAGACACGGCCCAGACUCCUACGGGAGGCUGCAGCAGGGAAUAUUGCGCAAUGAGCGAAAGCUUGACGCAGCGACACCGCGUGUGGGAUGACGGAUCUAGGUUUGUAAACCACUUUCAGGAGGGAAGAAAAUGACGGUACCUCCACAAGAAGCCCCGGCCAA